rnacentral:rRNA from 1 species
AUGAACGCUAGCUACAGGCUUAACACAUGCAAGUCGAGGGGCAGCGGGAUUGAAGCUUGCUUCAAUUGCCGGCGACCGGCGCACGGGUGAGUAACGCGUAUCCAACCUUCCGUACACUCAGGGAUAGCCUUUCGAAAGAAAGAUUAAUACCUGAUGGUAUGAUGAGAUUGCAUGAUAUCAUCAUUAAAGAUUUAUCGGUGUACGAUGGGGAUGCGUUCCAUUAGGUAGUAGGCGGGGUAACGGCCCACCUAGCCAACGAUGGAUAGGGGUUCUGAGAGGAAGGUCCCCCACAUUGGAACUGAGACACGGUCCAAACUCCUACGGGAGGCAGCAGUGAGGAAUAUUGAUCAAUGGACGAGAGUCUGAACCAGCCAAGUAGCGUGAAGGAUGAAGGUCCUACGGAUUGUAAACUUCUUUUAUAAGGGAAUAAACCCUCCCACGUGUGGGAGCUUGUAUGUACCUUAUGAAUAAGCAUCGGCUAACUCCGUG